UGCCCCAUGGCUAAGUUGGUCAAAGCGUCCGACUGUUAUAGCUGGUAGAUGACACGAUGCUUACGUAAUUCUGCAAUCGGAAGGUCGUGAGUUCGAUCCUCACUGGGGCAG